rnacentral:rRNA from 1 species
UACAGAGGUCUCAAGCGUUGUUCGGAAUCACUGGGCUUAAAGCGCGUGUAGGCGGGACGGCACGUCGGUCGCUGAAAUCCCCCGGCUCAACCGGGGAACGGGCGCCGAUACGACCGUCCUGGAGGGACGUAGGGGGACCUGGAACUUCCGGUGGAGCGGUGAAAUGCGUUGAGAUCGGAAGGAACGCCCGUGGCGAAAGCGAGGUCCUGGACGUUUUCUGACGCUGAGACGCGAAAGCCAGGGGAGCGAACGGG